rnacentral:rRNA from 1 species
UCGAGCGGACAGAUGGGAGCUUGCUCCCUGAUGUUAGCGGCGGACGGGUGAGUAACACGUGGGUAACCUGCCUGUAAGACUGGGAUAACUCCGGGAAACCGGGGCUAAUACCGGAUGCUUGUUUGAACCGCAUGGUUCAAACAUAAAAGGUGGCUUCGGCUACCACUUACAGAUGGACCCGCGGCGCAUUAGCUAGUUGGUGAGGUAAUGGCUCACCAAGGCGACGAUGCGUAGCCGACCUGAGAGGGUGAUCGGCCACACUGGGACUGAGACACGGCCCAGACUCCUACGGGAGGCAGCAGUAGGGAAUCUUCCGCAAUGGACGAAAGUCUGACGGAGCAACGCCGCGUGAGUGAUGAAGGUUUUCGGAUCGUAAAGCUCUGUUGUUAGGGAAGAACAAGUACCGUUCGAAUAGGGCGGUACCUUGACGGUACCUAACCAGAAAGCCACGGCUAACUACGUGCCAGCAGCCGCGGUAAUACGUAGGUGGCAAGCGUUGUCCGGAAUUAUUGGGCGUAAAGGGCUCGCAGGCGGUUUCUUAAGUCUGAUGUGAAAGCCCCCGGCUCAACCGGGGAGGGUCAUUGGAAACUGGGGAACUUGAGUGCAGAAGAGGAGAGUGGAAUUCCACGUGUAGCGGUGAAAUGCGUAGAGAUGUGGAGGAACACCAGUGGCGAAGGCGACUCUCUGGUCUGUAACUGACGCUGAGGAGCGAAAGCGUGGGGAGCGAACAGGAUUAGAUACCCUGGUAGUCCACGCCGUAACGAUGAGUGCUAAGUGUUAGGGGGUUUCCGCCCCUUAGUGCUGCAGCUAACGCAUUAAGCACUCCGCCUGGGGGAGUACGGUCGCAGACUGAACUCAAGGAAUUGACGGGGGCCGCACAGCGGUGGAGCAUGGUGGUUUAUUCGA